CGGAGUGGUAGUUCAGUUGGUUAGAAUACCGGCCUGUCACGCCGGGGGUCGCGGGUUCGAGUCCCGUCCACUCCG
rnacentral:tRNA from 1 species